rnacentral:RNase_P_RNA from 1 species
CGAGAAAGUUGGGUGAUUGCUGCAGUUUUAUGCAGAGGAAAGUCCGGGCUCCACAAAAGCAAGGUGCCAGAUAACGUCUGGCGAGGGUGACCUCAGAGAAAGUGCCACAGAAAAUAUACCGCCGGGUUUGCGCUCGGUAAGGGUGAAAAGGCGGGGUAAAAGCCCACCACGCCGUUGGUAACAGCGGCGGUAAGGCAAACCUCACCUGGAGCAAGACCAAAUAGGGGCAUGUGUCAGUUUUGACGUGCGAGCUUUUGCGCAUAUCAUGUCCGGGUUGGUUGCUAAAGCCAGGCGGCGACGCUUGGUGCAGAUGAAUGAUUACCGUCACAUAGCUUGGAAGAGCCAUGUGCUACAGAACCCGGCUUACAGACUUUCUUUCCAC